CUUUUACCGGCCAGCGUGAGCGAAUAGAGUGAUACUUUUCUUGAAGCUAUUUUUUUUUAAGAAUGAUUUGCUCCACACCGGCUAUCUACUUGAUUAAUUUUGGAAACUUCGGAUUUGCCUCCGUACCAUUGUCGUUGAUUACGUUAUAGAAAUGUUUUUCAUUUAUCGUUCCAUUGGCAGCUUUUGUAGACUGCAAACAGAUUAGCGGCUUGUGAGACAAGAAUGAAAAUAUCAACAUAGGUGAACAAGAAUUACCUAGUGAUUAACGGUUUCCCUCUCAGUAAACCCGGAAUUUGAAAUUUGCAUCUAGAGGCCAAUGAUUUUCUGCCACUCAAUAUUGUAAACUACACCCAGAAUUUCCCUAUCUCCAAAAUUCAUAUUUUCCUUGAAAAAAUCCUUGGCCAUUUUGAGUUCCUUUGUGAGUUCUUUUGUGUGCCAGAUUGACCAAUGGCAAAUGUCCUGUUUGGGACAAACGCCUUCCGAUUUUUCGUGAUGAACGAAAGCCCUGUCAAGUUUCUUAUUGUUCCCUUGAUGUUCCUCUUGAACCUCCUAAGAAGAGCAUCAAUUCCCAGUAAGUAUGAUGAACUGAGCUAAAAUAAAAUUCAAGGUUCAAGUGUUUCUGGUUGGUGAUAAAAAUAAAUGUUAAAGUUGUUUUGGCUAGUCUAUCAUAUAUGAUUGUAGACCACCUCAACAUUACCAGUAGUCAAACUGAUGUUUUGAAAGAUUGUCAAGCAAGGUAACUGGUGCUGCUUCUAUGACAGGUUUGGUUGGUCCAUGUACUGAUCAAGGCUUACUUUGGGACUUCAAUUCAAUGAGCUGUAUCGAUGACCUUUUGCAUAAUUGGGACAAUUAUUUGCUUGUCUGUGAAAGAAUUUGCUAAUUAGUUUGCAUCCCGUUUGAUCCUACUGUUGUCAUGGAAUUGUUUUAUCACAUGACUGAUUUGGGUGAGGCUAACUUGGCUGAGUUACUUCAAAUUCCAUACUUGAGACCAGUCAAAAUGAAGAAAAGGGAUUUGCAGAGGAAACAUCGGCAACAGCUGAGGACCAUCUUGUGUGUCAAACUUGAAGAGGCUCUGGGGCCACCUGGAGUGUCCUGAGGAAGUUUUGAUGCUUGUGAAGAUUCUAACAUUUGAUCUGGUCUCAACAGCACAUAACUAAAUGAUUGUAAAUAGUUGUUUGAUGUAGUUGCGUUCUAAUGAUAUCUCUCCUGAACUCGACGAGGCUCUGCAAAGGGAGGUAUGCACUAGAGUGUCCUGAGGAAGUUUUGAUGCUCGUGAAGAAGAGGAAUUUUGCAGAGGGAGUAUCAGCAACAGCUGAGGCCAACUUGGAGAGGCUCGUGGGCCAACUAGAGUGUCCUGAGGAAGUUUUGAUGCUUGUGAAGAUCGAAACACUUGUUCUGAUGUCAACAGUACAUACCUGAAUGAUUGUGAAUAGUAGUUUGAUGAGGUCGCGUUCUAAUGAUAUCACUCCCGAACUCAAUGAGGCUCUGCAAAGGGAGAUUCAAGCUGCAUUUCAUUCAAAUUCGGAGAAAGUCCCCCAACGCAGCACGAAGGAGAUGCGGGCAGGAAUGAGCCGUCAUCAUGAGACAUUAUGGAAAGGCGUCACAAAGUUUCUCGUUAUUGGCGUUCAUCGUGUGCUCCCGUGUUUGUUAAGACUCUCCAUAGGAUACUUGAUAGAAAGCGACCUCUUCUCACAUGGUGUAGUAGUCCUUUGUGAGAUUUGACAUCGUGACAUUUGUUAGCAAAGCCGAAUCUCAAAGUGCUUGCAGGAAGACCGCGUGUGCAGGUGGCUCCGUAUGUGAAUUCAAGCAUAAAAUCGAAGUUGUCAACAAGAUCACCGUUCAGAUGUCCACUUCAAGCAAGAAUUUUGUUAUUGGGAGAGACACCUUUUUCAUGGAAAAAGCGAAUGCCAUGGAAUCAACAAAUAAUCUAUCAAUCGCAGCCAAGAGUUUCAGUGAAAAGGUUUCCAAGAAGACGGUCGUUUCUCAAUUGGAAGAAUUUUGAACACCAAAUAGAAGUGUUCAGUAGUUUCUCUGGUCUGGUUACAUCAGAAAAUGCAUAUAUUGGUAUUUUGCAGUCACUUCAAUCGUAUAAUCUCAAACUGAUUCACCCA